UAGGGAAUAUUGCACAAUGGAGGAAACUCUGAUGCAGCGACGCCGCGUGAGUGAUGAAGGCCUUCGGGUUGUAAAGCUCUGUUCUCAGGGAAAAAGAAAGUGAUGGUACCUGAGGAGAAAGGACCGGCUAACUUCGUGCCAGCAGCCGCGGUAAGACGAGGGGUCCUAGCGUUGCUCGGAAUUAUUGGGCGUAAAGCGGGUGUAGGUGGCUUUGUAAGUCAGAAGUGAAAGCCCUGGGCUUAACCCAGGAAGUGCUUUUGAUACUGCUUAGCUUGAGUGUGGGAGAGGAUAGUAGAAUUCCUGGUGUAGUGGUGAAAUACGUAGAUAUCAGGAGGAAUACCGGUGGCGAAGGCGGCUAUCUGGCCCAACACUGACACUCAGACCCGAAAGCGUGGGGAUCAAACAGGAUUAGAUACCCGUGUAGUCC
rnacentral:rRNA from 1 species